AGCGAACGCUGGCGGCAGGCCUAACACAUGCAAGUCGAGCGCCGUAGCAAUACGGAGCGGCAGACGGGAGAGUAACACGUGGGAACGUGCCCUUUGGUUCGGAACAACCCAGGGAAACUUGGGCUAAUACCGGAUAAGCCCUUACGGGGAAAGAUUUAUCGCCGAAGGAUCGGCCCGCGUCUGAUUAGCUAGUUGGCGGGGUGAUGGCCCACCAAGGCGACGAUCAGUAGCUGGUCUGAGAGGAUGAUCAGCCUCACUGGGACUGAGACACGGCCCAGACUCCUACGGGAGGCAGCAGUGGGGAAUAUUGGACGAUGGGCGCAAGCCUGAUCCAGCCAUGCCGCGUGGGUGAUGAAGGCCCUAGGGUUGUAAAGCCCUUUCGGCGGGGAAGAUAAUGACGGUACCCGCAGAAGAAGCCCCGGCUAACUUCGUGCCAGCCGCCGCGGUAA
rnacentral:rRNA from 1 species